GACCCCGUAGUUCAACGGACAGAAUAGAAGUUUCCUAAACUUUUGAUCCAGGUUCGGUUCCUGGCGGGGUCA
rnacentral:tRNA from 1 species